rnacentral:rRNA from 1 species
AUGCCACGCGGGAUGAAGCAACGGCAGCACAGGAGCUUCCCGGCGCAGGUCAUCUUCCUCUCCUUUGUCCUCCCCCAUUCCCCUCCUAGAUACUCGUUGAUUAAGAGGCUUUGCACUACAGAGCAGUUGGUGGUAGGAAGGACAGAGGACGCGAAGAACUCAUGGUUAGGUGUACGGCGAGAGGAGGAGGAGGAAGCACUUCUCUGA